ensembl:lncRNA novel transcript
AGAGGACCCUGCGGCCACCUGCUCCCGGGGCUGCGUUUCUUGCCGCGGCACGCUCCUGACCGACCUGGAGGAGCGCUGACCAGCUGGCUGAACCCUGCCAGCGACUCUGGAAGGGCCGCUCCUCCCUCGGUGCCGACUCUGGGCGGUGGCCGCGCCAAACCCCGCCCGGCGUGGGACUUUUCGCAUCUCCGCUACUGUGAGGGCGGAAGGCGGCGCCCUUGACCUACGCAGGAUCCUUCCCGGGCUGCGGUGCUCCAUCGGAGGGGAGGCGCCCGGCGGUGUCCUCGCUGCUGCGCCUCCAUGCAUCGGCCCUUCGUGGCCAACACAGAGGUGAUCUCAGUUUACUUUAACCAGGGAUGUUUGUACCAUAUUGCACCUCGGAAUAAAGAAAAAUGGAAUUUCAAUCCCGAAAUCACUUCAACCCCAAAAACGGCCACGUCUCCAAGAAGAACCAGUAAACUAGUCUUGCUGCCCCAAGGAGGCUGGAGCCUGGAGGUCUUGCUGAAAUCCCUAACCUUGUUUUUACUCUAACUCGUUACUUUGAAUUUUAUCCUGCUUGUCUCUUUAAUCACCUAGCCUUGCUUCUCAUGUAAAUAAGACUCUCUCUAGCUGGGAAAGCCGGACAAACUCCAGUUGACCCCUUAAUUUACAAGACACUAAGGGCUCCUUACCCAACCCCCUUCCGCAAGGAGUUGACCUGUGUAAGCAGAUCCUCAGCAUUUCAAAGGAGCCCAAUUAAUUGAUAAGGUAUUAGCACCAACAAUGUAUGAAGUUCCCAGGAUUUUUCUCAAAGAGAAAACAUAAAGCCUUGAGUUCGUGUCCGGCAUACCCCGUAUAUCUAAUUAUAAUGAAAGAUUUAAAGCCUUGCACCUGGUACCGUUGCUCUUCUUGUAACCGUUUGUCUUUUAAAUUGUUUAUCACUUUGUAACCAUUUGUUUUUUGAUUUUGGCAUGUUUUUACUUCUGUAGAAUUAUUGCAUUUGAGUUCCCCUCCCCUUCCUAAACCUAGAUAUAAAAGUUAAUCAACUCCCUUCCUCGGGGCCGAAAGAAUUUUGAGCUUUAGCCGUCUCUUUGGCCGCCGGCUUAAUAAAGGACUCUUAAUUCGUGUCAAA